GACGAACGCUGGCGGCGUGCUUAACACAUGCAAGUCGAACGGAAAGGCCCCUUUGGGGGUACUCGAGUGGCGAACGGGUGAGUAACACGUGAGUAACCUGCCCUUGACUUCGGGAUAACUUCAGGAAACUGGGGCUAAUACCGGAUAGGAAUCCUUGCUGCAUGGUGGGGGUUGGAAAGCUUCGGCGGUUUUGGAUGGACUCGCGGCUUAUCAGCUUGUUGGUGGGGUAGUGGCUUACCAAGGCUUUGACGGGUAGCCGGCCUGAGAGGGCGACCGGCCACAUUGGGACUGAGAUACGGCCCAGACUCCUACGGGAGGCAGCAGUGGGGAAUAUUGCACAAUGGGCGGAAGCCUGAUGCAGCAACGCCGCGUGCGGGAUGACGGCCUUCGGGUUGUAAACCGCUUUCAGCAGGGGCGAAGCUUUUGUGACGGUACCUGCAGAAGUAGCACCGGCUAACUACGUG
rnacentral:rRNA from 1 species